AAUCAACGCUGGCGGCGUGCCUCAGACAUGCAAGUCGAACGAUUAAAGCUCUCUUCGGAGAGUGUAUAGAGUGGCGCACGGGUGAGUAACACGUAAGUAAUCUACCCUCGAGUGGGGAAUAACAACCGGAAACGGUUGCUAAUACCGCAUAAUGCAGCGGCACCGCAAGGUGACAGUUGUUAAAGAUUUAUCGCUUGAGGAGGAGCUUGCGGCAGAUUAGCUAGUUGGUAGGGUAACGGCUUACCAAGGCUACGAUCUGUAACCGGUCUAAGAGGACGGUCGGUCACACUGACACUGAAUAACGGGUCAGACUCCUACGGGAGGCAGCAGUCGGGAAUUUUGGGCAAUGGGCGAAAGCCUGACCCAGCAACGCCGCGUGAAGGAUGAAGUAUUUCGGUAUGUAAACUUCGAAAGAAUAGGAAGAAUUAAUGACGGUACUAUUUAUAAGGUCCGGCUAACUACGUGCCAGCAGCCGCGGUAAAGUAUCG
rnacentral:rRNA from 1 species